rnacentral:rRNA from 1 species
UGGGGAAUAUUGCACAAUGGGCGCAAGCCUGAUGCAGCCAUGCCGCGUGUGUGAAGAAGGCCUUCGGGUUGUAAAGCACUUUCAGCGGGGAGGAAGGCGAUAAGGUUAAUAACCUUGUCGAUUGACGUUACCAGCAGAAGAAGCACCGGCUAACUCCGUGCCAGCAGCCGCGGUAAUACGGAGGGUGCAAGCGUUAAUCGGAAUUACUGGGCGUAAAGCGCACGCAGGCGGUCUGUCAAGUCGGAUGUGAAAUCCCCGGGCUCAACCUGGGAACUGCAUUCGAAACUGGCAGGCUAGAGUCUUGUAGAGGGGGGUAGAAUUCCAGGUGUAGCGGUGAAAUGCGUAGAGAUCUGGAGGAAUACCGGUGGCGAAGGCGGCCCCCUGGACAAAGACUGACGCUCAGGUGCGAAAGCGUGGGGAGCAAACAGG